rnacentral:rRNA from 1 species
GGACCCGCACAAGUAGUGGAGCAUGUGGUUUAAUUCGAAGAUACGCGCAGAACCUUACCAACACUUGACAUGUUCGUCGCGACUUUAAGAGAUUAAAGUUUUCGGUUCGGCCGGACGAAACACAGGUGCUGCAUGGCUGUCGUCAGCUCGUGUCGUGAGAUGUUGGGUUAAGUCCCGCAACGAGCGCAACCCUCACUUUUAGUUGCCAUCAUUAAGUUGGGCACUCUGAAAGAACUGCCAGUGAUAAGCUGGAGGAAGGUGGGGAUGACGUCAAGUCCUCAUGGCCCUUACGUGUUGGGCUACACACGUGCUACAAUGGUACUUACAACAGGAAGCAAAACGGCGACGUUAAGCAAAUCCUUAAAAAGUACCUCAGUUCGGAUUGCACUCUGCAACUCGAGUGCAUG